AAAAGAGAGAAAAUAGAAAGCUUUCUGAAUUGUGUCGGACAUCUUGCACACACACCUAUUUAUAGGUGUCAGAGGGGCACCUAAAACAAAGGACACGCCUCAUUUAAAAGACAUAUAAUAUCUGUGUAUCAGAUUAUUUAAGAGUCUUCAAAUAGAAAGACUCUUUCAGCCCGAUAUGUUAAUUUGAACUCCCCAUGCGCGUGCACACAGGGAAG
rnacentral:lncRNA from 1 species